rnacentral:rRNA from 1 species
UACGGAGGGUGCGAGCGUUGUCCGGAAUCACUGGGCGUAAAGGGUGCGUAGGCGGCGCGGUAAGUCGGGUGUGAAAUCUCGGGGCUUAACUCCGAAACUGCAUUCGAUACUGCCGUGCUUGAGGACUGGAGAGGAGACUGGAAUUUACGGUGUAGCGGUGAAAUGCGUAGAUAUCGUAAGGAAGACCAGUGGCGAAGGCGGGUCUCUGGACAGUUCCUGACGCUGAGGCACGAAGGCCAGGGGAGCAAACGGG